UUUUGGGCGCACUGUUUCGAUAAGGAAGAGGGGCGGAGAGGGAGCGAUAGGCAGAGGCGCUCGAGCGACGGAGGAGAGGAGGCGGUUCCGUCGGGUUCUUACUGUUUACCGAGUUCCCUCUCUGCUCGAGCUUGAUUUUUUUUCCUUUGAUUCAGGGCUCCCCCGGUUGGUUGUUCUUGUCUCUCCCCCUCCUCUCAUGCGAUUUUGCCCUGUCUGUUCGUGUAGCUUCCAGAUCUAUGUCUGUGGAUUAUUGGUAGUUGUAUUUUGAUGCGUUUGGUUCCAUGGAUGCCCCUCUGCACGCGUCAGAUGUAUGAAUUCGUGUGUUAGGUACUUAGGUCUGGCCUGUUCUUCCUCUGUUAGGUUUUAGGUGUUCUCGUUUUGAUUCCCUCAGUGGAGGCGCUGGUAGGUUGUACGUUUAGAUGUUGGUCAUCUGAAUAGGGUUCGGGCUUGUGGUUUCUGCUGGUAGUAUUGCUUCGUAUGGCUUGAUUCGUCUGGCUUGCCCUCUGCAUAUGUAGUUCUACCAUCUGGUAGGGUUAGGGUUUGUAAUUUUUGUUGUAGUUGUAAGUGUUUUAGCUUGCUUGUUGAUGCUAUUAUUGUGUGUCAAAUUUAAUAGGGGAUUGGUCUGGCUCGUCCCCUUCUCGUGUUGUUCUUCCAUGUGGUAGGGGUUAGUGUUUGUGAUUUUGGUUGUAGAGGUAAGGUUUAGGUAGCUUUGUUGAUGUUAUUCUCUUUAGCAUUUUGUCCGCAAAUGUUUUUGUAAUGUUAAGUCUGAAUUAGGGUGGAUGUUAACUGUGAAUUUCACUGUAAUGCAUCCCAUUAUUCCCUAGUUACAUUGUAAUUUACCAACUGUAUUAUUCCCCAGAUAAUUACUGUGCAUUUUAACUCUGAAUUACAGUGUAGUUUUUAUGCUUCGUCUCUGUAAUUGAUGUAAGUUUAAUUACUGUGUAAUUGUAAGAUAGUUUACACUGUAAUUUACUAACUGUAUUAUUCCCCAGAUAAUUACAGUGGAUUUUAACUCCGAAUUACAGUGUAGUUUGUAUGCUUCAUCUUUGUAAUUGCUAUAUGUCUAAUUACUAUGUAACUGUGAGAUAGUUUACACUUUCACAAUGUAAUUACUAUGUAAUUACAGUGUAGUUUGUAUGCUUCGUCUCACACCAGGACGUUCCGUUAGUAUCACCUUUUUGAGAGUGUCGGUGAACUGUUUGUGCCUAAUGCCUUUGCGGAAAAUGGUUCUUGUGCUAUGUCUAUGGUAGUUAUUUCUUUUCUUCUUCUUUAGGUAUAUUUUAUUUUCAUACUUCUUCAGAUCAUUUUAUUUAAUUUCAGUCUGUCAGCUUUUUUAUUUUUGCAGGAACUUUCUGGUGAUGAAGGAGGUUUUGAGAAAGCUCUUUUGAAGUUCUAUUUGAAUCAAAAAGUAAAAUGCUUGAAGAGGAAAUUAUCAUCUACUGUGAGAAGGAAUGUCGUUAGUCCCCCUUGGUUGUACCUGAAGUUCUAUCUGAAGGUGAAGCGGGUGAAGGGGUUGAAGAAUUGGUGUUGAAAUAGAAGUGUUCCUGACCUGGGGAUCAUUUGUUGAUUGAUUUUCCUGGGAUCUUCUUCAAUGUUUGGCUGCUGUUCUUCAUUCUUGCUGUGGUCCAGGGGGUCGCAAGCUGAUGGGCAGUUCGCUGUGGUCCAGGGGGUUUGUGGCCCAGGUUUAGUUGAAACUGGGUUAGAGCUUAAGCUGACCCGUUUUUUUUAAGAAAAACAGAUCAUACAGUAGAUGGAUCUGUUUAUACAUCGGGAAAUUUGAAUGUUGCCGAAUUCAAAAACAGUCAAACGCUAAAUAGACAGUCCCAAAAAGAAAGGAGAACAAUUAUGACAUAUUGAGCCCAGUCGUCAGGCCACAUGGUAUUCUUUUGGUAAGGAAAGUCAACACGAUAAGUUGGACCAUCCAGCGCCCCGUCUCGUCCCCAUCUCUGCCCCCUGCUUGGUCGUGCGCCGUCGCCGUCGAGCCAAUCUCCGGCGAGACUGUGAGGUGGCAGUCGGAGGAGCCCGGCGAUGGUGGCUGGGCGGCCAGGGCGUGGCCGACGAGGUGGUGGUCGCCCUGGGCAAGCUCGGCCCAAUGCAGAGGAGAGCCAUGGCGGCUGGCGGCGGGGGCGGCUAUAUAGGGCGGGGCCCUGAGCCCCUGACGGCGACGCCGUCCGAGCAGGCGCCUUCCUGCCGGACCUCCUCCUUCCUCCCGGGCGUCCCUCUGCGCGCCGCCACCUUCAAGCAAGGCCGCCGUUGGCCUCCGCACGGGAUCAAGUCGCCAUUGAACUCGAGCUCUUUCAAUUUUGGUAGGUUGUCAAUGCCAGAGAGACUCCGCACCUUGUCCUCUGUGAAUGACCAGAUGAUCUUCUCGAGCUUAGGAGCAGAUCCAUUGGCGAACCCUAUGUUGGUGAUGGCAGAACCAUCGACAAUAAGAAGGUUGAGACUUGGGAACUCAUCUUUGUUGAACUUAAUCUGGCUUUCAACACAAGCUUUCUCCUUCAGGAUUAGGCAGCGCACAUAUCGUAUCUUGGCGAACAUUUUCAGUUCUGGAAGGGCUUCGACCCCAGAAAGAGAUUGUAUGCCAUCAGUUGAGCAUAAAAUGAUCUUCUCCAGCUUAUGGGCUCCACCUUCAAACAAGAUGUCAGUCAUGUUGGAGCCCUCAACAAGAAAGCACUUGAGAUUUUUGAAUUCUUCAUUCUUGAAGGUGAGAUUGUCAUCGAUGUAUGCUUUUUCC